rnacentral:tRNA from 1 species
GUAGCUCAGUGGUAGAGCACUUGCCUAGCAUGUGUGAGGCACUGGGUUCAAAUCUCAGC